rnacentral:rRNA from 1 species
CUGGGAAACGUAGGGUCGUAAUACUGGAUAUGACCUUUCUCCUUAUGGGGUUUGGUGGAAAGUUUUUCGGUGUAGGAUGAGCCCGCGGCCUAUCAGCUUGUUGGUGGGGUGAUGGCCUACCAAGGCGACGACGGGUAGCCGGCCUGAGAGGGUGAUCGGCCACAUUGGGACUGAGAUACGGCCCAG